UGUAAAUCAGACAAACAAACUGCUCUACCAGGAGGAGCUGCUGAAGGAUGUGACAGGAAAACACAGCCUGGAGGUGAAGGGUACCGCAUGUGCUUCAGUGCAGACGUGUGUUGUGUGUGUGUGAGAAAUGGGACUGACAUUAUGUGUUGAUCCUUCUGCCAGAUGUCCGAAAUAAACGACAAGUUUGCCAAGUGACGGCCUUCUUCUGUGAAAUACACAACGCAACGAGAGAGAGAGUA